GGUGGAUUAGUGGCGAACGGGUGAGUAACACGUGGGCAAUCUGCCCUGCACUCUGGGACAAGCCCUGGAAACGGGGUCUAAUACCGGAUAUCACUCUUGCAGGCAUCUGUGAGGGUCGAAAGCUCCGGCGGUGCAGGAUGAGCCCGCGGCCUAUCAGCUUGUUGGUGAGGUAAUGGCUCACCAAGGCGACGACGGGUAGCCGGCCUGAGAGGGCGACCGGCCACACUGGGACUGAGACACGGCCCAGACUCCUACGGGAGGCAGCAGUGGGGAAUAUUGCACAAUGGGCGAAAGCCUGAUGCAGCGACGCCGCGUGAGGGAUGACGGCCUUCGGGUUGUAAACCUCUUUCAGCAGGGAAGAAGCGAAAGUGACGGUACCUGCAGAAGAAGCGCCGGCUAACUACGUGCCAGCAGCCGCGGUAAUACGUAGGGCGCAAGCGUUGUCCGGAAUUAUUGGGCGUAAAGAGCUCGUAGGCGGCUUGUCACGUCGGGUGUGAAAGCCCGGGGCUUAACCCCGGGUCUGCAUUCGAUACGGGCUAGCUAGAGUGUGGUAGGGGAGAUCGGAAUUCCUGGUGUAGCGGUGAAAUGCGCAGAUAUCAGGAGGAACACCGGUGGCGAAGGCGGAUCUCUGGGCCAUUACUGACGCUGAGGAGCGAAAGCGUGGGGAGCGAACAGGAUUAGAUACCCUGGUAGUCCACGCCGUAAACGGUGGGAACUAGGUG
rnacentral:rRNA from 1 species